GACUCCGUCUAGCCCCGCUCCGCGAGAAGAGGCUGAACUGCCCCAUCUGCUUCUAAUUUCUUUCUUUCUUUCUUUCUUUCUUUUUUUCCCCUCUUUUCCUUUUCUUCUUUUAAAUAUACGUUUGGAAAUUUGCCGGGCGUGGUGGCGGGCGCCUGUAAUCCCAGCUACUCGGGAGGCUGAGGCAGGAGAAUCGCUUGAAUCCGGGAGACGGAGGUUGCAGUGAGCCGAGAACGCGCCACUACACUCCAGCCUGGACGACGAGAGUGAUACUCCGUCUCAGUCAAUCAAUCAAUCAAUCAAUCGUUUGAUUUUCGUUUUAUGCUUUUACUUCCAAAUUUAUAUUUAUUGCAAAAAAUGUGGAAUAUAACAAAGUGUAAAGGUGAAACUGAAAUAACCCGAAAUUAUAUUUCCCCCUCUGUGGUUUUUUUUUUUCCGUCUCUGUGUUUUUCAAUGUUUUUCAGGCCUUCUGUCUUGAGCUCGUAUUACUGCUGUUCACUGAUGUAUUGUAAAAGCGUAAAACCGGACGUGACCCAAAUGUCUAUCAAAGGAGACUGAUGAGAGAAAUAAACGGAUUUGUUCACACAACGGCUUCUACAGCAAAGAAACAGAAGGUAGCUCCAAGUGCUCUGAAAUGGAAAGAAAUGGGGUUUGGUCAUGUUACCCAGGCUGGUCUCAAGCUCCUGGGAUCAAGUGAUCCGUCCGCCUUUGCCUCCCAAAGUGCUGGGAUUACAGCGGGGAGCCACUGCGCCCAGCCCAGCCAGCCCGAUUCUGACCCAGAGGGUUUAGAAGUUGCUUAGACAGAUCUGCUCCUGCUAGUCAAGUGAAGCAGUGGGAGGCGGAGGACAAAAAGAAUUUUGACUAAGGCAAUAAAUAUAUUAUACAAGUGAAGUAUUUCCCAAACUGUAUUCUGUGGAAUGCUGUGUUCUCAAAUGUUAACAAGUUCCAUACAAGAACCAUUUAUUUCUAAAUUCUAAAGUCACAUUCAUAUUAUGAAUUAUAUUAAACAUAUAUAGUUACUUUUAUUAUACCUAAUAAUCUGUCUUUAUAAAAGUGUUUACCCAAAAAUGCCAGCAGAUUCCAUGAGAAACUACCUGUACUACAAUGAUCGUCAAACUUUGGUGCAUACAUGACAGAAUCAACCGGAGGGCUUGUUAAAGGAUUGCUGAGUCAAACCCCUCGUUUCAGCAGGUUUGUGGUGGGGCCUGAGAAUUUACAUUUCUUUUUUUUUUUUUUUUAGACGGAGUCUUGCUCUGUUGCCCAGACUGGAGUGCAGUGGUGCGAUCUUGGCUCACUGCAACCUCCGCCUCCCGGUUCAAGCGAUUCUUCUGCCUCAGCCUCCCGAGUAGCUGGGACUACAGGUGCCCGCCACCAUGCUCAGCUAAUUUUUGGAUUUUUAGUAGAGACGGGGUUUUACCAUAUUGGCCAGGCUGGUCUCGAACUCCUGACCUUGUGACCCACCCACCUCGGCCUCCCAAAUUGCUGGGAUUACAGGCAAGAGCCACCGCGCCCUGCCGAGAAUUUGCAUUUCUAACAAGUUCCCAGGUGAUGCUGACACUGCUGGCUCAUGGAACCACUGCUGUAGUAUUUUCCAAAUUAUCCUGAUUCUAAGAACCACCUAUGACCUGUGCUGUUUUUUCAGUGGUUACUGGCUCAUGUCACAUAAAUUCUUUUAGGAUUCAAACAUGUUUGUGAUAUUACUCAGUAUUUACAUCUUGCUUUUACUGCAGCAUGAUAGAAAAAUUAACCACAGGUAUAUCAUAACAAAAAGACCAUGAGUUACCAUUUUCACAAAGUUCAGAUAUAUUUAAAUUAGCCUAUUUAAUCUUUUUUUGGUUGUUGUUGAGAUGGAGUCUCACUCUGUCUCUCAGGCUGGAGUACAGUGGCACAAUCUCAGCUCACUGCAACCUCUGCCUCCCAGGUUCAAGUAAUUCUCCUGCCUCAGCCUCCCGAGUAGCGGGGAUUACAGGUGCCCAACACCACACAUGGCUAAUUUUUGUAUUUUUAGUAGAGAUGGGGUUUUGCCAUGUUAGCCAGGCUGGUCUUGAACUCCUGACCUCAGAUGAUCCGCCUGCCUCGGCCUCUCAAAGUGCUGGGAUUACAGGCAUGAGCCAUCGCACCCAGCCUAUGGUACACCUUUACUGAGGAAACAAUUCAGGAACAUCACUCUUAGUAAGGCAAUUGUUGAUUAUAAGUCAAAAAAACACCAUCAUGUACAAAUUCAGGGGAUUUUGUAUACCUUGUUUUUUUGGUUACAAAUAUGCAAAAUUAAAGAUGUUUGCUAAUACUUGUUUCCAAUUUUUAAACUUUUCAAGUGUUGCACUGUUAAUAAUGUUAAAAUAAAAGGCAUUUGACUUAG
rnacentral:lncRNA from 1 species